UACGGAGGGUGCAAGCGUUAUCCGGAUUUACUGGGUUUAAAGGGUGCGUAGGUGGGUUGGGAAGUCAGUGGUGAAAUACUUUCGCUUAACGAAGGAACUGCCAUUGAUACUCUCAAUCUUGAAUGCAGUGGAGGCGGGCGGAAUGUGUCAUGUAGCGGUGAAAUGCUUAGAUAUGACACAGAACACCCAUUGCGAAGGCAGCUCGCUACACUGCGAUUGACACUGAGGCACGAAAGCGUGGGGAUCAAACAGG
rnacentral:rRNA from 1 species